GAUGAACGCUGGCGGCGUGCCUAAUACAUGCAAGUCGAGCGAACGGACGAGAAGCUUGCUUCUCUGAUGUUAGCGGCGGACGGGUGAGUAACACGUGGAUAACCUACCUAUAAGACUGGGAUAACUUCGGGAAACCGGAGCUAAUACCGGAUAAUAUUUUGAACCGCAUGGUUCAAAAGUGAAAGACGGUCUUGCUGUCACUUAUAGAUGGAUCCGCGCUGCAUUAGCUAGUUGGUAAGGUAACGGCUUACCAAGGCAACGAUGCAUAGCCGACCUGAGAGGGGGAUCGGCCAAAUUGGAACUGAGACACGGUCCAGACUCCUACGGGAGGCAGCAGUAGGGAAUCUUCCGCAAUGGGCGAAAGCCUGACGGAGCAACGCCGCGUGAGUGAUGAAGGUCUUCGGAUCGUAAAACUCUGUUAUUAGGGAAGAACAUAUGUGUAAGUAACUGUGCACAUCUUGACGGUACCUAAUCAGAAAGCCACGGCUAACUACGUG
rnacentral:rRNA from 1 species